rnacentral:rRNA from 1 species
GACGUAGGGCGCGAGCGUUGUCCGGAUUUAUUGGGCGUAAAGAGCUCGUAGGCGGCUUGUUACGUCGACUGUGAAAACCCGCGGCUCAACCGUGUGGUCUGCAGUCGAUACGGGCAGGCUAGAGUUCGGUAGGGGAGACUGGAAUUCCUGGUGUAGUGGUGAAAUGCGUAGAUAUCUGGAGGAACACCGGUGGCGAAGGCGGCAUUUUGGACCGACAUUGACGCUGAGGAGCGAAAGCCAGGGGAGCAAACGGG